UGUUCGAUUCCGGAGAGGGAGCCUGAGAAACGGCUACCACAUCCAAGGAAGGCAGCAGGCACGCAAAUUACCCACUCCCGGCACGGGGAGGUAGUGACAAAAAAUAACGAUACGGGACUCAUCCGAGGCCCCGUAAUCGGAAUGAGAACACCCUAAAUCCUUUAACGAGGAUCUAUUGGAGGGCAAGUCUGGUGCCAGCAGCCGCGGUAAUUCCAGCUCCAAUAGCGUAUAUUAAAGUUGUUGCGGUUAAAAAGCUCGUAGUUGGUUCUGCGUGCCACGCUGUCGGUUCACCGCCUGUCGGUGCAACUGGCAUGCCGUGGCAUGUCCUGUCGGUGGCUGACAGGCCUCGCGGCGCGCCCUGUGCCUUCACCGGUGCAGGUCGUUGCGCCGCGUCGUCCUUGUAGGCCGGCUCAAUCCUACCGCGGUGCUCUUUGCCGAGUGUCGAGGUAGGCCGACACUUUUUACUUUGAACAAAUUAGAGUGCUUCAAGCAGGCUCUGAAAGCAGCCUGAAUAGUGGUGCAUGGAAUAAUGGAACAGGACCUUGGUUCUAUUUUGUUGGUUUCCGGAAUCCAAGGUAAUGAUCAAUAAGGACAGGCGGGGGCAUUCGUAUUGCGACGUUAGAGGUGAAAUUCUUGGAUCGUCGCAAGACGCAC
rnacentral:rRNA from 1 species